rnacentral:lncRNA from 1 species
GUUUUAUUUGUAUUUAUGUUAGUGUAAUUAUGUUUAUCAUCAUAAUUUAUGACUUCAUUAAGUACAAUGCAUUUUUUAAGCCUGCUAUUUUUCCGUACUCUUUUGCUUUCCGUUUUUUUGAUCCGGUUUUCUGUAUUGUUUUCUUUUCUUUAAUUUAAUUUAAUUGUUUAAAAUUCGUCUAAAUUACCAUUUGGUUUGGGUACCCCUUCCAGCAUCUUUCUCGCUCUCUGCGGGGACCUCCUUUUCUUCUCUCACUUUCCCUUUUUUUUGUUUAGUUAUUAUAGUUAAUGUUAUGAUUAGACGUAAGACGAUACAAAAAAAAGGUGACAUUACGUUCAACUACUUUUUUUGUUACUUAAGUUUACACAAUUAUAUUAAAUAUGCUUUCGGUUUCUCGUUAUUCUUCGUUUUUGAAUGUAUUGCACUGAAUUGUAACCUAUUUAUUUCCGUUGAUUUUCCCCAGUACGUUUUUGCUCAUUGCGGGGAAGGGGCUUGGUUAAUGCCUUUUGCCAAUAUCGGCAAUUAAAACUUAUGAUCCUACACAGACAACCACGCAUAUUUAUUUAUAUAUUUAUAUUUUGUGUGUGUGUGUGUGUGUGUGUGUAUGCUCUUUGCGGAAUAUUUAUGCAUGUAUUCCCUGCUGCCAUAUACAUUUACUCAGUUUUGGGCAUUCCCUUGAUAUUACACACCACACACACAUUUUUCGUUACAUUUUCAAUAUUACAAUAAUCACAAAAAAAAAAAACAAAAAAAAUAAUGCAACACGAUUACAUCCUCUAAACAUUAGUAUUGAAUAUAGAUUUUCGUUUAUGUUUUUGUUUUUAUUACUUUUUUUCAUCGCCACUUUUGGUGUUUGACUUUUUCCCUAAACUAAGCUUACUUUGAGGGAAUAUAACUUGGGUUUGCGGUUUGGGUUUCGGGUGAGGGUGAGGGUGGAAGGGGGUGAUUAAAUAUUUAAGAACAUUAUCCGUUUUGUAUGCAAAAAAUUGACCAAGACAUCAACACCAAACAAAUGCCCUACAGUUAACAUAUACAAUGUACGAGUAUGUACGGUUUGUAAACUUCCUACGCCUAAGUAUAUUUAUGUUUAUGUUGCUAUAACUUCUAGUUUUUUAUUUU